AGAGUUUGAUCCUGGCUCAGAACGAACGCUGGCGGCGUGGAUAAGACAUGCAAGUCGAGCGAGAUUUUUCGUUGUAGCAAUACGAUGGAAAGUCUAGCGGCGAACGGGUGCUUAACACGUGGGCAACCUGCCAUGAAGUGGGGGAUAGCUCGCCGAAAAGGCGAAUUAAUACCGCAUGUGAUUAGAGAGGACAUCCUUUCGAAAUUAAAGUCGGGGCAACCUGACGCUUCUUGUGGGGCCCGCGGCCUAUCAGCUAGUUGGUGAGGUAACGGCUCACCAAGGCUUUGACGGGUAGCUGGUCUGAGAGGACGACCAGCCACACUGGGACUGAGACACGGCCCAGACACCUACGGGUGGCAGCAGUCGAGAAUUUUUGACAAUGGGGGAAACCCUGAUCGAGCGACGCCGCGUGGAGGAUGAAGGUCUUCGGAUUGUAAACUCCUGUCAUUUGGGAACAAGGUGCACACGUUAACUGCGUGUGCAUUGAUAGUACCAGAAGAGGAAGAGACGGCUAACUCUGUGCCAGCAGCCGCGGUAAUACAGAGGUCUCAAGCGUUGUUCGGAUUCAUUGGGCGUAAAGGGUGCGUAGGCGGCGCGGUAAGUCGGGUGUGAAAUCUCGGAGCUUAACUCCGAAACUGCAUUCGAUACUGCCGUGCUUGAGGACUGGAGAGGAGACUGGAAUUUACGGUGUAGCGGUGAAAUGCGUAGAUAUCGUAAGGAAGACCAGUGGCGAAGGCGGGUCUCUGGACAGUUCCUGACGCUGAGGCACGAAGGCCAGGGGAGCAAACGGGAUUAGAUACCCCCGUAGUCC
rnacentral:rRNA from 1 species